CCUACGGGAGGCAGCAGUAGGGAAUAUUGCUCAAUGGGGGAAACCCUGAAGCAGCAAAGCCGCGUGGAGGAUGAAGGCUCUAGGAGUGUUAACUCCUUUUUUGAGAGAAGAUAAUGACGGUAUGUCUCGAAUAAGCACCGGGUAACUCCGUGCCAGCAGCCGCGGUAAUACGGCGGGUGCCAGCGUUACUCGGAAUCACUGGGCGUAAAGGGUGCGUAGGCGGGCUUGUAAGUCAGAUGUGAAAUCCUGUAGGUUAACUACAGAAAUGCAGUUGAAACUGGGAGUCUGGAGUGUGGGAGAGGUAGGCGGAAUUCGUGGUGUAGGGGUAAAAUGCGUAGAUAUCAAGAGGAAUACUCAUUGCGAAGGCAGCCUACUGGAACAUUACUGACGCUAAUGCACGAAAGCGUGGGGAGCAAACAGGAUUAGAUACCCUAGUAGUC
rnacentral:rRNA from 1 species